AUCUGACCACAAGGGUCGGAUAAGAUAAGAUCCAGAUUUCUUCGAUUCUUAAAUAGAAAAAAUACAAGUGAAAAAUGUGUCUCCCUAUUGCAUGUUAUAUUUUGACAUUAUGUUAAUUAACCAGACUGAAUGUAUACCUUGUUGGGGAAAAAUAUCCGAUUGUACUUGUAACGAUGUGCUGGGUAUACCCAGGAAUUGCAGACAAAAUGGAGUUGACCGUGCUCGGGAACAUCUUCUAAUGUUAUUGUCUUGAGGUAGAAUUGGCUAUGGUGAUGGUUUCUGAUCAGCAAAGCGCCGGGAGCUCCAUGGGACUCAUCCCAAUCCAAGGAAAUGGUAAAACUAGUUUCACCGGCCGACAACGAUGUAAUGGUUGUAGCCCAUUUCUCCAGGAAGAGAGACUGACCUGCUGCUUCAGGAUGAGUGGCACUAAUGAGCUGCAUGGAAACACCUUUGCCCAAGAGCUCAUGGAUUCUAUCAACGAACGAAGCUUUGAGGUCGUUGAAGUCCAACACAUUCUUCUUCAUCAACACAACUUUUCCUCUGAUUCUGUUGCUCCCACUCACCAUGUAAUCUGGCUUCUCGUCGUCAUUGUCCUUCUCCUUGUCCUUCAAACAAUAUGCUUCCAUCACUCUACUCACCGCUCUUGUUGAACUUGGACAGAGCCCACCCCUCAGAAAAAAGGUCAAAAUCUCAGGAAGAUGGAUGAGAAUGUGGGAAGGGAUUUAGCUCUGUGUUCGAGUAAGAUGUGAAUCAGGUAAUCCUUUCCUCCUUUUGAGGGAGGGUUUAUUAAUGAUAUUUCAGAUUAAUGAUUUUAUUUUUUUUUCUUUUUUUUGGACUUUUAUUGACAACACACUGUGGGAUCCUUGUGGAACUUUUAAUAUUUCUCUCUUUACUAGUGAACAAUUAAAGGACUGGAUUCCAUCUUGGCAAACCCAAUCGCUAUGUAUUUAUUUAAUAAAGUGCAUACAAUUGUAUAUGUUACAUGACGUAAAUUUAUCGUUUUAUUGUACAAA